CAUGCGGUGGCGGAACGCAGAAACGGUCGCGAUCAGUUUGGCAUUUUGAUAGACCUGAUUGCCAUGAAUUUGAGAAGUGUGCCACAACAGGGUCUGGCUGGGAGACAAGAAUAUGCAACGCAUAUUGUCAUAAUGGUGGAACAGCUAUCAGAUUGAUUUCUCAUUAUGCUUAUUGUAGCUGCAAAUCAGGCACAAAAGGAAAAUGUUGCGAACAAAUUGUCACAUGUGGGUCACCAUCGAGAAUAAGCCACGGCACCUAUACUGGUGCAUCAUUUUCCUACAACCGCAAGAUAACCUAUAGAUGUGAUAGGGACUACAAAAUGACUAAUCCAUCAAAAGCAGUACGUACAUGCAGUCAUUCGGGCUACUGGACGGGAUCGCUUCCGACAUGUGAAUAUGCAGUUUCCUGCAAUAGCUAUCCAUGCAAAAAUGGUGCAAUAUGUACUAAUUUGCUUGGAACGUAUAGAUGCUCAUGUUCCAAUGGCUGGAUAGGACGAGACUGUGAAACAGACAUCCAGCCACCUAUAUAUGAUCACUGCCCUACAAACAAGGUCAUUCUUGUGACAACAAUGACAACGAAUCAGACGUGGGCAGAACCCAUUUUUACCGACCCACACGGAUUCGGAAUUGAAAUAUCGAAAAAUUACCAAAACAGCUCUUUCGAAUUCCCCUGGGGAGAAUUUGCAAUACAGUACACUGCAAUCAAACCGUCAUAUGGAAUGAGGGAAGAAUGCACAUUUUGGAUUAAAGUCAAACCACACCAGUGCAAACCUAUGCAAGCCCCAAAACAUGGUGCAAUAUCAUGCAAUGGCUGGAAAGAGCAAUACGCUCGCGUGUGCAAGUUCUACUGUUAUUCUGGCUAUGACCUUCCACUGGUUUCAACCCAGAUACUGUUUUUAAUUGUGGAGCGACCGGGAAGUGGAUGCCGCCAAACCCAUUGUCGGAAUGCAUUGUAAUGAAUCUUCUGCCUUCACCUCAAGACGUUGUCACACCAAAGUUUAACGACUGUCUUGCAGAGAAGACAUCUAUUGCCGAGACUUAUAUAUAUAAGAGAUUUGAAAAUGUCACAGUUCAAUGCGCUUUGUGUUGAUAACCUUGACCUUUGUAAUGUUACAAACGUUUUCAUUUUGUGUGGUGUUUAGUCAGCUUUCGAAAAUGUAAACAUUGAUCAAAAUAUACUUUGUAAUUAAUAAGAUACAAAUUUAAAGAACAUGAUAAUUCUGACAAACUUUGUUGUCAUUGCUUUGCAUACUUUAAUUACUUUUGUAUUGAUAUUUACUGUUGUCAAAGUAUCACUAUUGAAAGGAUUCUCAAAGAGUUAGUGACAAAUGCAUUACGCAUUAAAUAACAUUUAAACCCUUUUAUGAGUAUAUUUAAUGUUCCCUUUCAAAAUAAGCGAAAAUGGAGCAAACAUAAUUUGCAAUCUUUAGGAAACAUAUUUAAUAGUCUUUAUUUUUAUAUGUCAUAUAUGUUUUUGUAUAUCAAUAUACUUAUCCUAUUUAGGGACGGUUUUCUGUAAUUUAGAUGUACUCCUAACAAUUUACUUGCA